UACGAAGGGGGCUAGCGUUGAUCGGAAUUACUGGGCGUAAAGCGCGCGCAGGCGGUUCUUUAAGUCAGGGGUGAAAGCCCAGAGCUCAACUCUGGAAUUGCCUUUGAAACUAGAGAACUUGGGUACGGGAGAGGUGAGUGGAAUUCCGAGUGUAGAGGUGAAAUUCGUAGAUAUUCGGAAGAACACCAGUGGCGAAGGCGGCUCACUGGCCCGUUACCGACGCUCAGGCGCGACAGCGUGGGGAGCAAACAGG
rnacentral:rRNA from 1 species